rnacentral:rRNA from 1 species
CCUACGGGUGGCUGCAGUCGAGAAUCAUUCACAAUGGGGGAAACCCUGAUGGUGCGACGCCGCGUGGGGGAAUGAAGGUCUUCGGAUUGUAAACCCCUGUCAUGUGGGAGCAAAUUAAAAAGAUAGUACCACAAGAGGAAGAGACUGCUAACUCUGUGCCAGCAGCCGCGGUAAUACAGAGGUCUCAAGCGUUGUUCGGAAUCACUGGGCGUAAAGCGUGCGUAGGCUGUUUCGUACAUCGUGUGUGAAAGGCGCGGGCUCAACCCGCGGACGGCACAUGAUACUGCGAGACUAGAGUAAGGGAGGGGGAACCGGAAUUCUCGGUGUAGCGGUGAAAUGCGUAGAUAUCGAGAGGAACACUCGUGGCGAAGGCGGGUUCCUGGACAGUAACUGACGCUGAGGCACGAAGGCCAGGGGAGCGAAAGGGAUUAGAUACCCCGGUAGUC